GACGAACGCUGGCGGCGUGCCUAAUACAUGCAAGUAGAACGCUGAAGCUUGGUGCUUGCACCGAGCGGAUGAGUUGCGAACGGGUGAGUAACGCGUAGGUAACCUGCCUGGUAGCGGGGGAUAACUAUUGGAAACGAUAGCUAAUACCGCAUAAAAUGGAUUAUCGCAUGAUAAUCGAUUGAAAGGUGCAAAUGCAUCACUACCAGAUGGACCUGCGUUGUAUUAGCUAGUUGGUGGGGUAACGGCUCACCAAGGCGACGAUACAUAGCCGACCUGAGAGGGUGAUCGGCCACACUGGGACUGAGACACGGCCCAGACUCCUACGGGAGGCAGCAGUAGGGAAUCUUCGGCAAUGGACGGAAGUCUGACCGAGCAACGCCGCGUGAGUGAAGAAGGUUUUCGGAUCGUAAAGCUCUGUUGUAAGAGAAGAACGAGUGUGAGAGUGGAAAGUUCACACUGGACG
rnacentral:rRNA from 1 species